UUUUUUUUUUUUUUUUUUUUUUUUUCCCAGUUUGUCUCUGGAAAGUAUACAUUUGGAAAUUAGUCCAAAGAGAAAGUUAUCUUCGCUUCAUGUCUGAAAUACAACUGUAUCAGAUUACUUCUUACUACUUCCCCUGUGAUUACCCCAGUCCACGCUACCAUCAUCUCUCCCCUUCAAUCUCCACGGAUUUGUUCACUGAACUCACAGAUGAUUAGAAUUAAAAAAAAAAACACAGGAAUUUGUGGAUAAUGCAUUAUGGAUAUGGUUUGAGGCAUGAAAAACAACAUGGAACUCUACUCACAGCACCAUUAAUCAAACAAAAAACUUAAGCCCAUACCAAAAUACAGGCAUCGAACCCACAAACCUCAGGGUUUUCCUGUCAGAUUCAUUUCUGCUGUGCCAUGAAGGGAACUCCCUUCGUUUGCUUUUAAUACAAAAAGCAUCUCAAGGAGUUCCAGUCGUGACGCAGUGGUUAACGAAUCCGACUAGGAACCAUUAGGUUUCGGGUUUGAUCCCUGACCUUGCUCAUGGGUUAAGGAUACCACGUUGCCGUGACCUGUGGUGCAGGUCGCAGACGUGGCUCAGAUCCCGCGCUGCUGUGGCCCUGGCUUAGGCUGGUGGCUACAGCUCCUAUUGGACCCAUAGACUGGGAACUUCUACAUGCUGCAGGUGCAGCCCCAAAAAGAGAAGAGAGACAAAAAAACAAACAAAAAAACUUACGAAAAAUGAGCACAGUAAAAUCUGAAAUAAACUUAUCCAAGCCCAUCUAGUAAAUGGGCAUAUAAGAAAUUGAAACCAUUAGCUGUUGACCAUUUGGCCAUGGUCUCUAAAAUAAAAGCUAAACUCCAGUGUAGAUUUUUCAGCCUACCUUUUAUUACCUUUAUCUCCUCCUAAACCCGUAUUCAUCUACGCUGUAGCUAAUUCAAACCAUUGCAGUAGUUAUCACAAACACACCUUGUACCUUGAUGCCACUGAUGAUUGUUUACUACGACUGGAAUACUCUUAGCCCUUAUACUUAAUAAAAUUCUAACUACUCUUUAGGAUCGAGGUCAGAUAUAAAGCCUUCCAAUGACUCAGAAUAAGUUCUUAGCAAAGAAUACAAGAUCCUGGAUGAUACUGCCCCACCUACCUUCUGCUUCAUCAGGCACUGUUCUCUCCAUCCCUUACUCAAUAAACUCAAUCACAACGGCAUUCGAGCAGCAAAGCCUUCACACACACUGUUCCUUCUUCCUGGAAAACUCUUUGCUCAGCAUUUUUCCAAACUAGCACAACUUCUUCAGAUAGAAGAGACCUUUAGAUUUCACUUCCUCUCAGAGGGAGGCCCUUCCUUAUUACCCUUCUCCCAAUCUGUAUCUGAUACUCACUAAACUUUCACAGCAGAUAAUCACCACUCAGAAUGUGUGUGUAUACAUUUUUUAAAUAAUUUUUUUUUUUUAAACGUACAAACCCAUGGCAUAUGGAAGCACCCCAGCCAGGGACUGAGUCUGAGCAACAGCUGCAAACUACACCAUAGCUGCAGCAAUCCUGGAUCCUUAAAACCCAUUGUGUGGGGCGAGGAAUUGAACUUGUACCUCCAGAACAACCCAAGCCACUGCAGUCGGAUCAUUAACCCAUUGUACCAUGCAGGGAACUCCUAAAAAUAAUUUUUUAAUGGACAUCUGAUUGCAGAGACUACAUCUAAGCCAACACAUAGAGCAAUUUUUAAAAUGUAGUUCUUACUGUUAUUAAUAGCUUCUGGUCUGAUUAGACAUAUAUGUUAGGAUGUUUAUCUGGCAGCAAUGUUUAGAUUAACUAACAAGCCAGAGAGGCACUAGAGACAGAGAGUUCCAUUGAAAGCACACUAUAAUUAUAAGCAAGAAGCAAUGAGAGUCUCAACUACUGCUUAUCGACUUAAUACCGCCACAGCGACCCUGUAAGACAGCAAGGAAGAAGUUAAGGUUCUGAGAGGGUAAAUGGCCAUUCCAAUAGAGGAAGUUUGAAAGUUUUUUUGUCUAGUAAUUUAGCUAUGAGUUUUGAUGGCCAGAAAAGUAGAGCGCUGAGAGAAUCUGUAAUCCCAACUCUACAAACAAAACCAUCACAAUUAUAAUACUGAUGUGAGAGCAAAAAAAAAAAAAAGCCCCUUUAUUCACUGUAGAAAAGUUUGAUGGCUGGUUAACUGAAAAGGUCAGUUAAAUCGGGGAACUGUAAAUAAUGAUAAACCCUUAUCCAUUUUAUUUUUAAGUUAUUUCAAUAAAUAUUUUCUCUGGUCUUGUAUAAAAACUGUUCAAGAUCUUAAAAAAAUCCUAGAAAACUAAUCAGCUCUUUCUAACAACAUGAAUAUAGUCCUGAUACCAAAAGUGGGUGAAACAGCACAAGAGAGCUAUGGACUAAUCUCAUUUACAAACACAGAUGCAAAGGCCAUAAAUAAAAACCUCUAUUAGCAAGCAGAAUUCAACAGUGAAUUAAAAGAAUACACACUGUGAUAAAAUGUAUUCAGCAACAUGAGUUGCUCAAAACUAGGAUGUCUGAUUCUAUUACAUUGAUUAUUAUAUUACUUACAUAAAUAGAUGAAAGAGAAAAAACAUGUGAUCACCUUCAUAGAUGGAGGGAAAAACCUGGCAAAUUUCAACACCCAUUUAUGAUUUUUUUCCUUUUUAAAAGUUUUAUUGAGGUAUAGCUCAUUUACAAGGUAGUGAUCAUUUCUGCUGUAUGACAAAAUGAUUCAGUUAUACAUGUACAUACAGCCAUUCUCAGAUUCUCUUCCCACACACAGAUUAUCACAGAAAACAAGGUAGAGUUCUCUGUGCUACAGAGCAGGUCCCUGUUGGCCAAUCAUUCCAUAUACCUCAGUGUACACGUGCCAAUCUCUCACAAACUAGAAAUUUAAUCACCAAGCAUAAAGAAGCAUUUCCGUUAAAGACAAGAGAUAUAAAGAUGUCUUUAUCACUGCAGUUAUCAAAUACAGUAUGGAAGACCCUAGGAACUCUGUUAGAACAAAGGUGGAAAAAAAAAAAGACAUAAACAUGGAAAAGGAAAAAACUAAAACAGCCAUUAUUUGUACAUAUGAAUUUUACUUAAAAAUCCAGGACAGGUGUUCCCAUCGUGGCUCAGCGGUAACAAACCCAACUAAUAUCCACGAGGACGCAGGUUGGAUUCCUGGCCUCACUCAGUGGGUUAAGAAUUCAUCGUUGCUGUGAGCUGUGGUAUAGGUCACAGACAUGGCUUGGAUCCUGAAUUGCUGUGGCUGUGGUGCAGGCCAGAAGCUUUAGCUCUAAUUCGACCCCUAGCCUGGGAACUUCCCUGUGCCUCAGGUACGGCCCUAAAAAAAAAAGGAAAGGAAAAAUCCAGGACAAUUCACUGAUGAAUCUGAGAAGCAAUAAGAGUUAAAUCAAUGUACAAAAGAAUCAAAAGAUUUCCUACAUACCAAACAACAAGAUUUUUCUAAAUCCUAUUUGCAAUAGCACAAAAGAUUCUCAGGAAGAAAACUAACCCGCUACUCCCCCAAAGUAUAAGAACAUUAUGUAGAAAACCACAUUCAUUUAAGGAAAUAAAAGACUUACAUAAAUGAAGAGAAAGACCAUGUUCAAAAGUUGAAAGAAUCAAUUUGUAAACAUCUACUAUAUAUGUUCCUAUAUUAAUACAUAAAUUUGAUGCAAUCACUAUCAAAAUCCUAGUGGGACUUUUGACAACCUGAUUCUAACAGUCACAUGGAAGAGUAAAUGAGCAUAUGUUUGCACAAAAUUAACAAAGCUGGCAUUACCAAAAAUAUAAGCUAUAGUAUCAAGUAGCAGUGCUAUUACCAACAAAGUUAAGAGAGAGCCCAGAAACAGACUCGUGGGAAGCUAGUAUCUGUUAGAGAAGGCUUUACAAAACAGAAGAAAAAAAAAAAUCCCUGCACAUGUACACAAAUGGUGUUGGGAUAAUUAUAUUCCUCCAAAUAUCUUCAUGUCGUAACAUAAUACUAGACUGUUUAAAUAACUACAAAAUUUUUUAAAACUUAAAUUUAUCUGAAGACAAAAUAAGAGAAUAACCUUUUAAAUCCUAAAUACAGAAAAGUUCCUAGACAAAAAAUUUUUAAAAAAGGAAAAGAUGGACAAGUUUGACCACAUAAACAUUAACAAUAAAAUUCUUUAUAACAAAAGAUCGGAAGCAAAUAUUUUUGACAUUUAACAUAAAAAAUGUCAUCCAUAAUAUAAAGCAGAACACUUAAAACUAAAAAAAAAAAAGCACAAUACAUUAAUGGGUGUAAGAUGUCCACAACAAUUCAAGAAGAAAAAAAUCCAAAGGCAAAUAAACUUAUAAAAACAUACUCAACCCACCAGUAAUCAGAUAUGGAAAUUAAAGUAAGAUCUAGAAAAUGACUAUAAAUUAAAGCAAACCUUACACAACCACAACCCAAGUUAAGAAACAGAGCACCACCAGUAACUUAAAAGGCUCCAUCCAUCCUUACUUAAUCAUACCCACUUUCUUUCAUCCCUGGAGUAAUCGUAAUCCCUGCCACUCUUCACUUUUGUGAUAAUUAUUCCCUUGAUUUUCUAGUACCUAUAAUUUGUUUCCUGAAUAAUAUGGUUAAUUCCACUUGUUUUUGAACUUUUUAUGAACAGAAUCAUGUUGCAUGUAAUCUUUUGUGAUUUCUAAUAUUUGACCACUAUUAUGUUUGUGAGAUUCAUACCUAUUGAUGCAGGAGCCGUCUGUGCUUCUUUCCUAGUCUAUCUGAAUUAUGUUUUUAUUCCAUACGUGAAUACAAUAUGAUUUAUCUAGCCAAUCCACUACUGAUGGACAUAUGAAUUGUGUAGGUAUUUUGGGGUUAAGAGGAACAAGGGUGCUAUGAACAUUCUUCCGUAUAUAUGCUUCCUAGUGCACAUGUUGAUACAUUACUCUAGGACAAAGGCUAAUUCUCAAAGCAUGAUUUCUGGACCAGCAGCACCAGCAUCACCUGGUACCCCAUGAGAAAUACAAAUUCCCAGGCUCCAACCCACUCCUACUGAAUCAGAAACUCUCGUUGUGGGCCCAGCCAUUCAGCUUCACAAGUCCUCCAGGUGACUCUGAUACACACUCAAGUAGGACAACCCCUCUCUAGAGCAACUGUCUAGGAGUAAUGUUGCUACUUGUAGAAUCUAUUCUUUUCCAAAGUGGCUCUUCGAAUUCACACUCCCAUUAGUAGUGGAAGAGCUCCUACUGCUCCAGACCUUACCAAUGCUUGAUCCUGUCAGGUGUUUAUUGCUGUCAAUUUAGUCUGUAUAAAACAGUCUCUUGUGGUUUUAAUUUCUAUUCCCCUAAUUGUUAAUGAGGAUAAUGAUCUUUUCAUGUUUAACUGAUCAUUUAAAUUUUUUAUCAUCAAACGUCUCCUCCGAUUUUUGCCUUUCUACUUGGUACUGUCUUAGUGAUUCAGAGUUCCUUAUGUAAACUUUUCAUACCAUUUGUCCAUUCACUGUAUGCUGUGGUAGGCAGACAGCCCCAAUGAUCCUCACACCUCUUGGUAUUCAUGCCCUUGCACAACCUCCCCCUCCACCCCUGAAGGUAUUGACUUGCUUCUAUUGAACAGAAUAUGGCAGAACAGAUGGGUUGUUACUUCUAAGUUACAAAAAGACCAUCAACCUAAGUGCCCAACAACAGACAAAUGGAUAAAGAUGUGGUGUUUGUACAUACAAUGAAAUAACACUC
rnacentral:lncRNA from 1 species